rnacentral:rRNA from 1 species
GUCUAUAGCCAUGCCACCCUGAACAAACCCAAUCCUGUCUAAUUUUGGAAGCUAAGCAGGAUCUGGCCUGGUUAGUAUUUGGAUGGGAGACCACCUAGGAAGACCAGGUGCUGUAGGUA